rfam:Otolemur garnettii contig105277, whole genome shotgun sequence.
UUUCCCAUUUGACUACCACUUUUUCUCUUAAUAGUAGAUUUUAGUAGCUAUGCUUAUGGAAUAUAUUAAAAUUGCCAUGAUCUGAAGAGGGAGGUUUUCUUUUUUUUUUCUUUUUUUUUUUUUUUUGGUGGUCUCCUUCUAUAUGAAAUGGCUGAACAGAAAGUU